UCACUCUGUGCCUCCUGCGACGCUGACAUCCAUUCUGCCAACCCCUUGGCACGCCGUCACCACCGUGUCCCGAUUAUGCCCAUUCCAGGUAGCCACCAUUUGUAUUUACAAGAAGAACAUAAAUUAGUCCUACAUGUACAAAAAACUAACAAUUGUUUCAAUAAAUGUCUUCUGAACCAUAAUUUCAAAAAUGUAAAGUAGCAAGAACCUUAAAGAUUGAAUCAUCAAAAUCAAAUUCUAAAAUUCGUCUCGCUUCCAAUUUCCAGGAACCCUUUAUGGUCCUCCAGCUGUUGACAUCGUUGGUGAUGAUUCAAUGAUAAUUGGUGAGCC
rnacentral:lncRNA from 1 species